CCUACGGGGGACAGCAGUCGGGAAUAUUGCGCAAUGGAGGAAACUCUGACGCAGUGACGCCGCGUGCAGGAAGAAGGUUUUCGGAUUGUAAACUGCUUUAGACAGGGAAGAAACAAGACAGUACCUGUAAAAUAAGCUCCGGCUAAAUACGUGCCAGCAGCCGCGGUAAUACGUAGGGAGCAAGCGUUAACAGGAUUUAUUGGGUGUAAGGGGUGCGUAGACGGGAGGGAAAGUUGGUUGUGAAAUCCCUGGGCUUAACGAAGGAACUGCAAGGGAAACUGACAAGCGGGAGUGCUGGAGAGGUAAGUGGAAGUCAGGGUGGAGCGGAGAAAUGCGUAGAUAUAAGGAGGAAAAGCGGAGGCGAAGGGGGCU
rnacentral:rRNA from 1 species